AGUGAACGCUGGCGGUAGGCCUAACACAUGCAAGUCGAACGGCAGCACAGUAAGAGCUUGCUCUUACGGGUGGCGAGUGGCGGACGGGUGAGGAAUACAUCGGAAUCUACUUUUUCGUGGGGGAUAACGUAGGGAAACUUACGCUAAUACCGCAUACGACCUACGGGUGAAAGCAGGGGAUCUUCGGACCUUGCGCGAUUGAAUGAGCCGAUGUCGGAUUAGCUAGUUGGCGGGGUAAAGGCCCACCAAGGCGACGAUCCGUAGCUGGUCUGAGAGGAUGAUAAGACACCCUGGAACUGAGACACGGUCCAGACUCCUACGGGAGGCAGCAGUGGGGAAUAUUGGACAAUGGGCGCAAGCCUGAUCCAGCCAUACCGCGUGGGUGAAGAAGGCCUUCGGGUUGUAAAGCCCUUUUGUUGGGAAAGAAAAGCAGCAGGUUAAUACCCCGCUGUUCUGACGGUACCCAAAGAAUAAGCACCGGCUAACUUCGUG
rnacentral:rRNA from 1 species